AUUGAACGCUGGCGGCAUGCUUUACACAUGCAAGUCGAACGGUAACAGGGUGCUUGCACCGCUGACGAGUGGCGAACGGGUGAGUAAUGCGUCGGAACGUGCCGAGUAGUGGGGGAUAACGCAGCGAAAGUUGUGCCAAUACCGCAUACGUACUGAGGUAGAAAGUGGGGGACCUUCGGGCCUCACGCUAUUCGAGCGGCCGACGUCUGAUUAGCUAGUAGGUGAGGUAAAGGCUCACCUAGGCGACGAUCAGUAGCGGGUCUGAGAGGAUGAUCCGCCACACUGGGACGGAGACACGGCCCAGACUCCUACGGGAGGCAGCAGUGGGGAAUUUUGGACAAUGGGCGAAAGCCUGAUCCAGCCAUGCCGCGUGUCUGAAGAAGGCCUUCGGGUUGUAAAGGACUUUUGUCGGGGAGGAAAUCCCCAGCGCUAAUACCGCUGGGGGAUGACAGUACCUGAAGAAUAAGCACCGGCUAACUACGUGCCAGCAGCCGCAGUAAAAC
rnacentral:rRNA from 1 species